UGUCCCAUGGCUUAGUUGGUUAUGGCUUCCAACUGUUAUGCCAAAUUCAAGUUGCAUGUAACAUUGGAGAAUCAAGAGUUUGAGUCUCUCUGGGACAG
rfam:Termitomyces sp. J132 unplaced genomic scaffold scaffold135, whole genome shotgun sequence.